rnacentral:rRNA from 1 species
CCUACGGGCGGCAGCAGUGAGGAAUAUUGGUCAAUGGACGAGAGUCUGAACCAGCCAAGUAGCGUGAAGGAUGACUGCCCUAUGGGUUGUAAACUUCUUUUAUAUGGGAAUAAAAUGUUCCACGUGUGGGAUUUUGUAUGUACCAUAUGAAUAAGGAUCGGCUAACUCCGUGCCAGCAGCCGCGGUAAUACGGAGGAUCCGAGCGUUAUCCGGAUUUAUUGGGUUUAAAGGGAGCGUAGGUGGAUUGUUAAGUCAGUUGUGAAAGUUUGCGGCUCAACCGUAAAAUUGCAGUUGAAACUGGCAGUCUUGAGUACAGUAGAGGUGGGCGGAAUUCGUGGUGUAGCGGUGAAAUGCUUAGAUAGCACGAAGAACUCCGAUUGCGAAGGCAGUUCACUGGACUGCAACUGACACUGAGGCUCGAAAGUGUGGGUAUCAAACAGGAUUAGAUACCCCUGUAGUC